UGUCCUACGGGAGGCAGCAGUCGGGAAUAUUGCGCAAUGGAGGAAACUCUGACGCAGUGACGCCGCGUAUAGGAAGAAGGUUUUCGGAUUGUAAACUAUUGUCGUGAGGGAAGAAAUUGACAGUACCUCAGGAGGAAGCUCCGGCUAACUAUGUGCCAGCAGCCGCGGUAAUACGUAGGGGGCAAGCGUUAUCCGGAUUUACUGGGUGUAAAGGGAGCGUAGGCGGCGAUGCAAGUCAGAAGUGAAAGCCCGGGGCUCAACUCCGGGACUGCUUUUGAAACUGUGUUGCUAGAUUGCAGGAGAGG
rnacentral:rRNA from 1 species